AUACGAAGGGUGCAAGCGUUAAUCGGAAUUACUGGGCGUAAAGCGCGCGUAGGUGGUUUUGUAAGUUGGAGGUGAAAGCCCCGGGCUCAACCUGGGAAUUGCCUCCAAAACUGCAUGACUAGAGUACGGUAGAGGGUAGUGGAAUUUCCUGUGUAGCGGUGAAAUGCGUAGAUAUAGGAAGGAACACCAGUGGCGAAGGCGACUACCUGGACUGAUACUGACACUGAGGUGCGAAAGCGUGGGGAGCAAACAGGAUUAGAUCCCCUGGUAGUCCACGCCGUAAACGAUGUCAACUAGCCGUUGGGAUCCUUGAGAUCUUAGUGGCGCAGCUAACGCAUUAAGUUGACCGCCUGGGGAGUACGGCCGCAAGGUUAAAACUCAAAUGAAUUGGCGGGG
rnacentral:rRNA from 1 species